rnacentral:rRNA from 1 species
AGGGCUUACGGAGGAUGACUUGGUAUGGAUAGGCGAAGAAGGACGUGGUAAGCUGCGAUAAUCUUCGGGGAACCGCAAACAGGUUUUGAUCCGAAGAUUUCCGAAUGGGUGAACCUUUUGCCAGUAAUGUGGCAAAACUCUAUUCUGAAUGUAUAGGGAUAGAGGGCGAAACCAGGAGAACUGAAACAUCUAAGUAACCUGAGGAAAAGAAAGAGUAAAUCGAUUCCCCCAGUAGUGGCGAGCGAAAAGGGAACAGCCUAAACCCUUGACAAAUUUUGCAAGAAAUUUGUCAAGGGGGUUGUGGGACUGUGAUAUAGGAUUGCCGGCGAAUAGCAGAAUGGACUGGAAAGUUCAACCAUAGAAAGUGAUAGUCUUAUAUGCGACAUUUAAAAGCACCUUAACAGUAUCCCAAGUACUACGGGGCACGUGGAAUCUUGUAGGAAUCAGGCCCGACCAUGGGCCAAGGCUAAAUACUCAUCCAUAACCGAUAGUGCACAAGUACCGUGAGGGAAAGUUGAAAAGAAGGCCCGCAAGGCCAGUGAAAUAGUACCUGAAACCGUAAGCUUACAAGCGGUGGGAGCUCUUCCGAUUUAUCGGAGGGGUGACCGCGUGCCUUUUGCAUAAUGAUCCGGCGAGUUAUUGUGUGUGGCAAGGUUAACUUCAACAGACAGAAGGUAAUCGAAGCGAAAGCGAGUCUGAAUAGGGCAAUUAAGUCGCAUGCAAUAGACCCGAAUCUGAGUGAUCUACCUAUGACCAGGAGGAAAUCCAGAGAAAUCUGGAUGGACGUCCGAACCUUUAUGGGUUGAAAACCGUUGGGAUGAGUUGUGGGUAGGGGUGAAAGGCCAAUCAAACUCAGGAAUUGCUGGUUCUCCCCGAAAUAGUUCUAGGACUAGCCUUGCGUAAAUGGACAACAGGGGUAGAGUACUCAAUGGGCUAAGGACCCUACCAGGUUGCUGACCCCAAUGAAACUCCGAAUACUGUUGCACCUUAUCGCAGGAGUCAGCCAGCGAGGGAUAAGCCUCGUUGACGAGAGGAAAACAGACCAGACCGCCAGAUAAGGCCCCUAAUGUGGACUAAGUGGUAAAGGAAGUGAAGUCGCUCAGACAACCAGGAUGUUGGCUUAGAGGCAGCCAUCAUUUAAAGAGUGCGUAACAGCUCACUGGUCGAUGCGAUUUUGCGCCGACAAUGAUCGGGGCUCAAGUUCACAGCCGAAGCUGCGGCUCUGAUUUAUAUUUAUAUCGGAGGGUAGGGGAGCGUUCUGUUAGGAGUGAAGGUAGACCGUAAGGACUGCUGGACUUGACAGAAGUGAAUAUGCCGGAAUAAGUAGCGAAAAUCCCGAUGCGAAAACGGGACGCCGAAAAUCUAAGGGUUCCUGGGGAAGGUUAAUCCACCCAGGGUUAGUCGAUCCUAAGCUGAGGCCGAAAGGCGUAAGCGAUGGACAGCAGGUUAAUAUUCCUGCACUACCUGUAUGGCGUUUUAAGUGUUGGUGUGACGCAGAAGGCUAUGCCGCCCCCGGUGUUGGAUGUCCGGGGUCAUAUUCAUAGUCUGCCAUGAAUAAUGGCGGAUGAGGGAUAGGAGGAGUCAAAUCUACGGAAAAGGCGAACAGGCAAACGUCAUACUGCCGAGAAACAACAUACAACACAAGUUAUACAGGUGUUCGUACCGCAAUCCGACACAGGUAGAUGGGGAGAAAAUCCUAAGGCGCUCGAAAAAACCCUCGUUAAGGAACUCGGCAUAAUGGCCCCGUAACUUCGGAAUAAGGGGUGCCCUUGACAGUAAGAGAAUUUACUUCUGGAGCUGUCAAGGGUCGCAGUAAAGAGGCCCGUGUGACUGUUUAGCAAAAACACAUGUCUCUGCUAAGUCGAUGAGACGAUGUAUAGGGACUGACACCUGCCCGGUACUGGAAGGUUAAGGGAAUUGGUCAUCCUUUUGAGCAAUCUUAAGGUGAAGCCUUGAACUGAAGCCCCAGUAAACGGCGGCCGUAACUAUAACGGUCCUAAGGUAGCGAAAUUCCUUGUCGGGUAAGUUCCGACGCGCACGAAUGGUGUAACAACAUGGGCACUGUCUCAACGAGGGAUUCGGCGAAAUUGUAGUGGCGGUGAAGAUGCCGUCUACCCACGAGUAGACGAAAAGACCCCGAAACCUUUACUGUACCCUGGUACUGAAUUUUGAUCCGAUAUGUGUAGGAUAGGUGGGAGGCUUUGAGACUUCGGCGUCAGUCGAAGUGGAGCCAUCGGUGAAAUACCACCCUUAUCGUAUUAGGGUUCUAACCUAUGCCUUGAAUCAGGUAUGGGAACAAUGCCAGGCGGGCAGUUUAACUGGGGCGGUUGCCUCCUAAACAGUAACGGAGGUGUCCAAAGGCUUCCUCAGCGCGUAUGGCAAUCGCGCAUAGAGUGUAAAGGCAUAAGGAAGCUUAACUGUGAGUCCGACAGGACGAACAGAUACGAAAGUAGGGCUUAGUGAUCCGGCGGUUGAAUGUGGAAUUGCCGUCGCUCAUCGGAUAAUAGGUACUUCGGGGAUAACAGGCUGAUCGCUUCCAAGAGUUCAUAUCGACGAAGCGGUUUGGCACCUCGAUGUCGGCUCAUCGUAUCCUGGGGCUGGAGAAGGUCCCAAGGGUCCGGCUGUUCGCCGGUUAAAACGGUACGCGAGCUGGGUUCAGAACGUCGUGAGACAGUUCGGUCUCUAUCUCUCGUGGGCGCAGGAUAUUUGAAGGGGAUCUUUCCGUAGUACGAGAGGACCCGGAAAGACGGACCAAUAGUGUUCCAGUUGUCCCGCCAGGGGCAAGUGCUGUGUAGCCACGUCCGGAAAGGAUAAGCGCUGAAAGCAUCUAAGUGCGAAGCUCCCUCCAAGAUUAGAUAUCCCAGCCGAUGGAGACAUCGGCUCUUAAGGCACCUUGU